UCCCUGGCAGUUCAGUGGUUAAGACUCUGUACUUCCACUGCAGGGGGCCAGGUUCGAUCCCUGGUCAGAGAA
rnacentral:tRNA from 1 species